GGCUACAUGGUCUAGUAGCAUGAUUCCUCCUUCGGGGUUCAUAGCCGCCGCUUGAUGAGUCAAGCACGAAUGGAGGAGGUCCUGGGUUCAAUUCCCAGUGUGGCCC